rnacentral:rRNA from 1 species
GACGAACGCUGGCGGCGUGCUUAACACAUGCAAGUCGAACGGAAAGGCCCUGCUUUUGUGGGGUGCUCGAGUGGCGAACGGGUGAGUAACACGUGAGUAACCUGCCCUUGACUUUGGGAUAACUUCAGGAAACUGGGGCUAAUACCGGAUAGGAGCUCCUGCUGCACGGUGGGGGUUGGAAAGUUUCGGCGGUUGGGGAUGGACUCGCGGCUUAUCAGCUUGUUGGUGGGGUAGUGGCUUACCAAGGCGUUGACGGGUAGCCGGCCUGAGAGGGUGACCGGCCACAUUGGGACUGAGAUACGGCGCAGACUCCUACGGGAGGCAGCAGUGGGGAAUAUUGCACAAUGGGCGGAAGCCUGAUGCAGCAACGCCGCGUGCGGGAUGACGGCCUUCGGGUUGUAAACCGCUUUCGCCUGUGACGAAGCGUGAGUGACGGUAAUGGGUAAAGAAGCACCGGCUAACUACGUG